UGAUCCUGGGUCAGGAUGAACGCUAGCGGCAGGCUUAACACAUGCAAGUCGAGGGGUAUUUAUCUUCGGAUAGAGAGACCGGCGCACGGGUGCGUAACGCGUAUGCAAUCUACCUUUUACAGAGGGAUAGCCCAGAGAAAUUUGGAUUAAUACCUCAUAGUAUAGCAGUUUCGCAUGAAACCACUAUUAAAGUCACAACGGUAAAAGAUGAGCAUGCGUCCCAUUAGCUAGUUGGUAAGGUAACGGCUUACCAAGGCUACGAUGGGUAGGGGUCCUGAGAGGGAGAUCCCCCACACUGGUACUGAGACACGGACCAGACUCCUACGGGAGGCAGCAGUGAGGAAUAUUGGACAAUGGGCGCAAGCCUGAUCCAGCCAUGCCGCGUGCAGGAUGACGGUCCUAUGGAUUGUAAACUGCUUUUAUACGAGAAGAAACACUGCUACGUGUAGCAGCUUGACGGUAUCGUAAGAAUAAGGAUCGGCUAA
rnacentral:rRNA from 1 species